rnacentral:lncRNA from 1 species
GCAGAGCAGGCGCCUCAGACGAUCACGGGAGCACGAUCCCGCCGCGUUGCCUUGCUGCUGGGCUCGUCGGGCGCUUCACCAUUGGCCAGAGGAGGAGCAGCCAGAGAGUCCAAGACUGUAAAUGCCAAAGAGAGCAACGAGUAAAAUGAACUGGAUUUUUCUGCCGCUAAAUGAAUGCUAUAUACCUAUGCUGCUGCUAAAUGGUGCUUGUGCAUAACUGAAUUUUGCUGCUGGCACUGAAUGUUGACAGACAACUAUUGCACUAAACUUUGCUGCUACUAGUAUGUGAUUUUCAAAUGAGCUUAUGUAAAAACACAGCUUGCGCAUGUCCAACUGGAAAGGACACGACAGAUACAGCUAUGUGAGCCUGCCUGAUAGGUAGGUCAGGCAACUUGAUUCAGUGAACUGGGAACGAUCUAAGACGAACAAUAAGAAUGGAAAGCAAACAUUGAACCCCAUGUUGAUCUGAAACUUUGGGAUUCAAGCAAGAAGUCGCGAACGUGCAACCAAAAUGCUCCUGUCAACAUUAUUAUUCAAGGUAACAGGCCAUCAGGAACACUGCUCAAUGAUUUGUAUGUGGCAUAGACAUGAUCCAGUUAUCAUGAUACAAUGACCAUCCCGUAAAAUGAAAGGCAUUUGCUGCUCAUUACAAUUAUUUUAAGCUGAGUGUUUCUUUCUUCUAUUUGAUUUAUGCAAGCGGAGAUGUAGCAGGCAGGGAGGCAGGGAGCCAUCACAUAUGCAUGUAUGUAUGAAGCAGAACAUGAAAAGAGCAACAUCUAAUUAACUUGAUUGCCUUGCAGACGACACACAAGAUGAAGAGCACUUGGACAGAAGCUACUAUACUUGAACAGCAAUAAUUUACUGACACACAAGUUGACAGAAUGUACUCAAUAUAUUCUAAUAAAACGGAUUGGCAGCAGAGGGAGAGGGAGGUGGAGAUGGACGUGCUACCUGCUGCUGCGGUGGUGCCUCUUGGUGGUCGUUCUUGAGCUCCUCCUCCUGAUGCUUCUCACUAACCGGCAGGACAAACAAGACCAUGGGUGAGCUGCAGCACAGGCACAUACAAGAAGUGAAGGUAAGGAGAAGAACCUGGAAGAAGAGAGGUGCUCUGUCCUCCU